CCGGCGGGUCGGGCGGCCGCCCCCUCUGCUUCUUGCGAAGCAAGAGAGGGGGAGGAAAGUCCGGGCAGGACAGGGCGCGGUGAUGGCUAACAGCCAUCUCCCCCAUGCUUUCUUGCAAAAGCAAAAAUGGGGGACGGGAAAGUGCCACAGAAAAUACACAGCCCCCUCUCUUGCUUCGCAAGAAGCUGAGGGGGCAAUGGUGAAAAGGUGCGGUAAGAGCGCACCGCGGCAAUGGUGACACUGCCGGCACGGCAAACCCCACCGCCUGCAAGACCAAGUAUGCCGGUAUGCUCUGCCCGAGCGUUAUUCCGGCGGGUAGGUCGCUUGAGCCUGUCAGCAAUGGCAGGCCUUAGAGAAAUGGUCGCAUCCCGAUUUAUCGGGAACAGAACCCGGCUUAUAGACCCACCGGACAA
rnacentral:RNase_P_RNA from 1 species